AACGAACGCUGGCGGCAUGCCUAACACAUGCAAGUCGAACGAGACCUUCGGGUCUAGUGGCGCACGGGUGCGUAACGCGUGGGAACCUGCCCUUAGGUUCGGAAUAACUCCCCGAAAGGGGUGCUAAUACCGGAUAAUGUCUUCGGACCAAAGAUUUAUCGCCUUUGGAUGGGCCCGCGUUGUAUUAGCUAGUUGGUAGGGUAAAAGCCUACCAAGGCGACGAUCCAUAGCUGGUCUGAGAGGAUGAUCAGCCACACUGGGACUGAGACACGGCCCAGACUCCUACGGGAGGCAGCAGUGGGGAAUAUUGGACAAUGGGCGAAAGCCUGAUCCAGCAAUGCCGCGUGAGUGAUGAAGGCCUUAGGGUUGUAAAGCUCUUUUACCCGGGAUGAUAAUGACAGUACCGGGAGAAUAAGCUCCGGCUAACUCCGUG
rnacentral:rRNA from 1 species